UACGGAGGGUGCAAACGUUGCUCGGAAUCAUUGGGCGUAAAGCGCACGUAGGCGGCCUGAUAAGUCGGGUGUGAAAGCCCUGGGCUCAACCCAGGAAGUGCACUCAAAACUGUCAGGCUUGAAUAUGGAAGAGGGUCGCGGAAUUCCCGGUGUAGAGGUGAAAUUCGUAGAUAUCGGGAGGAACACCAGUGGCGAAGGCGGCGACCUGGGCCAAUAUUGGACGCUGAGGUGCGAAAGCGUGGGGAGCAAACAGG
rnacentral:rRNA from 1 species